rnacentral:rRNA from 1 species
AUGAACGCUAGCUACAGGCUUAACACAUGCAAGUCGAGGGGCAGCAUUUUAGUUUGCUUGCAAACUGAAGAUGGCGACCGGCGCACGGGUGAGUAACACGUAUCCAACCUGCCGAUAACUCCGGAAUAGCCUUUCGAAAGAAAGAUUAAUACCGGAUAGCAUACGAAUAUCGCAUGAUAUUUUUAUUAAAGAAUUUCGGUUAUCGAUGGGGAUGCGUUCCAUUAGUUUGUUGGCGGGGUAACGGCCCACCAAGACUACGAUGGAUAGGGGUUCUGAGAGGAAGGUCCCCCACAUUGGAACUGAGACACGGUCCAAACUCCUACGGGAGGCAGCAGUGAGGAAUAUUGGUCAAUGGGCGAGAGCCUGAACCAGCCAAGUAGCGUGAAGGAUGAAGGCUCUAUGGGUCGUAAACUUCUUUUAUAUGGGAAUAAAGUUUUCCACGUGUGGAAUUUUGUAUGUACCAUAUGAAUAAGGAUCGGCUAACUCCGUGCCAGCAGCCGCGGUAAUACGGAGGAUCCGAGCGUUAUCCGGAUUUAUUGGGUUUAAAGGGAGCGUAGGUGGAUUGUUAAGUCAGUUGUGAAAGUUUGCGGCUCAACCGUAAAAUUGCAGUUGAAACUGGCAGUCUUGAGUACAGUAGAGGUGGGCGGAAUUCGUGGUGUAGCGGUGAAAUGCUUAGAUAUCACGAAGAACUCCGAUUGCGAAGGCAGCUCACUAGACUGUCACUGACACUGAUGCUCGAAAGUGUGGGUAUCAAACAGGAUUAGAUACCCUGGUAGUCCACACCGUAAACGAUGAUUACUAGGUGUUGGAGGAUUGACCCCUUCAGUGCCGCAGUUAACACAAUAAGUAAUCCACCUGGGGAGUACGACCGCAAGGUUGAAACUCAAAGGAAUUGACGGGGGCCCGCACAAGCGGAGGAACAUGUGGUUUAAUUCGAUGAUACGCGAGGAACCUUACCCGGGCUUAAAUUGCAACAGAAUAUAUUGGAAACAGUAUAGCCGUAAGGCUGUUGUGAAGGUGCUGCAUGGUUGUCGUCAGCUCGUGCCGUGAGGUGUCGGCUUAAGUGCCAUAACGAGCGCAACCCUUAUCUUUAGUUACUAACAGGUCAUGCUGAGGACUCUAGAGAGACUGCCGUCGUAAGAUGUGAGGAAGGUGGGGAUGACGUCAAAUCAGCACGGCCCUUACGUCCGGGGCUACACACGUGUUACAAUGGGGGGUACAGAAGGCGGCUACCUGGUGACAGGAUGCUAAUCCCAAAAACCUCUCUCAGUUCGGAUCGAAGUCUGCAACCCGACUUCGUGAAGCUGGAUUCGCUAGUAAUCGCGCAUCAGCCAUGGCGCGGUGAAUACGUUCCCGGGCCUUGUACACACCGCCCGUCAAGCCAUGAAAGCCGGGGGUACCUGAAGUACGUAACCGCAAGGAGCGUCCUAGGGUAAAACUGGUAAUUGGGGCU